rnacentral:rRNA from 1 species
GCGCAGCAGUUGCGAAAACUUGUCAAUGCACGAAAGCGUGAACGGGCUACCCCGAGUGCCGUCCGCUGAGGAUGGCUUUUCUCUGCUGUAAGAAGCUAGAGGAAUAAGGAGAGGGCAAGUCUGGUGUCAGCCGCCGCGGUAAUACCAGCUCUCCGAGUGGUAGGGAUGUUUAUUGGGCUUAAAGCGUCCGUAGCUGGCCUUUCAAGUCUCUUGUUAAAUCCAGCGAUUCAAUCGUUGGACUGCGGGGGAUACUGUUAGGCUAGGGGGGGAGAGAGGCCGACGGUAUUUCCGGGGUAGGGGUGAAAUCCUAUAAUCCCGGGAAGACCACCAGUGGCGUAGGCGGUCGGCUAGAACGCGCUCGACAGUGAGGGACGAAAGCUGGGGGAGCGAACCGGAUUAGAUACCCCGGUAGUCC